AUGGACAUGGCUAAGCCCUCGCUGGUUUUCGGCACCGUCCUCGCGGCGUGCCUUGCGCUCGCCGCGGCCGACUGGUCUCCGGCGCACGCCACGUUCUACGGCGGGAACGACGCCUCCGGCACAAUGGGUGGCGCUUGCGGGUACAGCAACCUGUAUGACCAGGGGUACGGCGUCGACAACGCGGCACUCAGCACGGCGCUGUUCAACGACGGCGCGUCGUGCGGGCAGUGCUACCUCAUCAUCUGCGACACCAGCAAGACGCGGUGGUGCAAGCCCGGCACCGCCGUCACCGUCUCGGCCACCAACCUCUGCCCGCCCAACUGGGCCCUCCCCAGCGACAACGGCGGCUGGUGCAACACGCCGCGGCAGCACUUUGACAUGUCGCAGCCAGCCUGGGAGAAGAUCGCCAUCUACCGCGCCGGCAUUGUGCCCGUGCUCUACCAGCGUGUCAAGUGCUGGCGCCAGGGCGGGGUCAGGUUCACCAUCGCCGGCUUCAAUUACUUCGAGCUCGUGCUCAUCACCAACGUCGCCGGCAGCGGCUCGGUGGCCAUGGCGUCCAUCAAGGGCUCCAACACGGGGUGGAUCCAGAUGUCCAGGAACUGGGGUGCCAACUGGCAGUGCCUCUCCGGGCUUGCCGGCCAGGCGCUGAGCUUCGCCGUCACGACCACCGGCGGGCAGUAUCUGCUCUUCGAAAACGUCGUGCCGGCUUGGUGGAAGUUCGGCCAGACGUUCACCACGUACAAGCAGUUCGACUAUUGA
rnacentral:rRNA from 1 species